rnacentral:rRNA from 1 species
UACGUAGGGUGCGAGCGUUAAUCGGAAUUACUGGGCGUAAAGCGUGCGCAGGCGGCUUUGCAAGACAGAUGUGAAAGCCCCGGGCUUAAACCCUGGGGACUGCGUUUGAGACUGGGAGACUUGAGUGUGGCAGAGGGGGGUGGAAUUCCACGUGUAGCAGUGAAAUGCGUAGAUAUGUGGAGGAACACCGAUGGCGAAGGCAGCCCCCUGGGUUAACACUGACGCUCAUGCACGAAAGCGUGGGGGAGCAAACAGG